rfam:Rattus norvegicus chromosome 6, whole genome shotgun sequence.
GGGGAUUUAGCUCAGUGGUAGAGCGCUUGCUUAGCAAGUGCAAGGCCCUGGGUUCGGUCCCCAGCUCCA